rnacentral:rRNA from 1 species
GAUGAACGCUCGCUGUGUGCCUAAUACAUGCAUGUUGAACGGGAUGUAGCAAUACAUUCAGUAGCGAAUGGGUGAGUAACACGUACCUAACCUACCUUUAAGACUGGGAUAACUAUUGGAAACAAUAGCUAAUACCGGAUAUAGUUAUUUAUCGCAUGAUGAGUAAUAGGAAGGAGCUUCACAGCUUCACUUAAAAAUGGGGGUGCGGAACAUUAGUUAGUUGGUAGGGUAAUGGCCUACCAAGACGAUGAUGUUUAGCCGGGCCGAGAGGCUGUACGGCCACACUGGGACUGAGAUACGGCCCAGACUCCUACGGGAGGCAGCAGUAAGGAAUUUUCCACAAUGAGCGAAAGCUUGAUGGAGCGACACAGCGUGCAGGAUGAAGUUCUUCGGAAUGUAAACUGCUGUUAUAAGGGAAGAAAAAAUAGAAUAGGAAAUGAUUUUAUCUUGACGGUACCUUAUUAGAAAGCGACGGCAAACUAUGUGCCAGCAGCUGCGGUAAUACAUAGGUCGCAAGCGUUAUCCGGAAUUAUUGGGCGUAAAGCGUCCGUAGGUUUUUUGCUAAGUCUGGAGUUAAAUGCUGAAGCUCAACUUCAGUCCGCUUUGGAUACUGGCAAAAUAGAAUUAUAAAGAGGUUAGCGGAAUUCCUAGUGAAGCGGUGGAAUGCGUAGAUAUUAGGAAGAACACCAAUGGGCGAAGGCAGCUAACUGGUUAUAUAUUGACACUAAGGGACGAAAGCGUGGGGAGCAAACAGG